rnacentral:rRNA from 1 species
CGGCGAGCGAACGGGGAUCAGCCCAUUAAGUUAUGUGUGUUUUAGUGGAACGCUCUGGGAAGUGCGAACGUAGAGGGUGAUAUUCCCGUACACGAAAGGGCACACAUAAUGAUGACGAGUAGGGCGAGGCACGUGAAACCUUGUCUGAAUAUGGGGGGACCAUCCUCCAAGGCUAAAUACUCAUCAUCGACCGAUAGUGAACCAGUACCGUGAGGGAAAGGCGAAAAGAACCCCGGGAGGGGAGUGAAAUAGAACCUGAAACCUGAUGCAUACAAACAGUGGGAGCACCCUUGUGGUGUGACUGCGUACCUUUUGUAUAAUGGGUCAGCGACUUAUAUUCUGUAGCAAGGUUAACCGUAUAGGGGAGCCGCAGGGAAACCGAGUCUUAACUGGGCGUUAAGUUGCAGGGUAUAGACCCGAAACCCGGUGAUCUAUCCAUGGGCAGGUUGAAGGUUGGGUAACACUAACUGGAGGACCGAACC